AUUUAUGUAAUAAUUUUACAUAAUUAGGUCAUUUUAUUAAUUACAAUUUGCGAGACCUACCUGACAACCCAGGCCGAAAGUCCAGGGAAUUUAAUUUGCUAGCACUAUAUUUAACCCUGUAACUUUCCAAGACACCAUAAAACCUGUACAUUGGGGGUACUGUUUUACUCAGAAGACUUUGUAAAAUGUAUUACAACGUUGAUAUCAUCAGUGAAAGUGACAUUUUUUGUGCAUUUUCCACACACAAAUGGCACUUACACGGAUUAUAUAAUUCUUGUGAUACGUUUUACUGUUUUGAAACACUAAUAUUUGUGUUCAGCUAAGUCUCCUGAGUAUAACAGUACCCUUCAUGUACAGGUUUUAUGGUGUUUUCAAAAGUUACAGAGUCAAAUAUAAGGCUUGCGUUUCAGUUUUUUCACAUUGAAAUUCACCAGAUUGGUUACGUUGCCUUUGAGAUCGUACGG